rnacentral:rRNA from 1 species
CCUACGGGAGGCAGCAGUGAGGAAUAUUGCUCAAUGGACGAGAGUCUGAACCAGCCAAGUAGCGUGAAGGAUGACUGCUCUAUGGGUUGUAAACUUCUUUUAUAUGGGAAUAAAAUGUACCAAGUGUGGGAUUUUGUAUGUACCAUAUGAAUAAGGAUAGGCUAACUCCGUGCCAGAAGCCGCGGGAAUACGGAGGAUCCGAGCGUUAUCAGGAUUUAUUGGGUUUAAAGGAGUCGUAGGUGGAUUGUUAAGUCAGUUGUGAAAGUGUGAGGCUUAACCGUAAAAUUGAAGUUGAGACUGUCAUUCAUGAGGACAGUAGAGGUGGGCGGAAUUCGUGGUGUAGCGGUGAAAUGCUUAGAUAUCACGAAGAACUCCGAUUGCGAAGGCAGAUCACUGGACUGCAACUGACACUGAGGCUCGAAAGUGUGGGUAUCAAACAGGAUUAGAUACCCCAGUAGGC